rnacentral:lncRNA from 1 species
AAAUACAUACCAAAAAUCCAGGAUCAAAACAAGAAUAUAAGAUAACUCACAGAGCGCUAUAGAGAAGAGAUUCUUGAUUAAUCUUGCGGAAGCUGGAAGUCCGGCUACGAUCUGAAAGUCACGAACCGAACUUGAGUGAUUUGAUUUCUCCCCCUAUCUCAGGCACUCUGCCGUAUGGUGUGGAACCGAUGGUAAUUUUUCACCAGAAUGCGUAUGAGAAGGUGGCAGGACCAAUACCCCUUUAUAUAGAGUCCAAAUCGACUUCCCAUCAAAGUCUGAUUAGGAUUCUAUUUAAAUUUAAAAUAGAUGGGAUAGGGAUAAAAUAUACCAUAUCAAGUAGUUCUAUAUCUGUUAGGAUUGACCUUUAUCUAUAGCAAAUCCUAAUUUAAAUAUAAUUAAUUGGGCCACAAUAUAUGGAAAUCCUAACAAAAAAAACAUGCAUUGAAACUAGAUGGCCACAGGAAUUGCUGGUUUCAACCAUAGCUACACAGAGCAACACAAAAUUUUCGAAAACACAUUCCCUUCCUCUACAUUUAAAGUUAAACUCAAAUUAAAAUCUAAAUCUCAUAGUAAAAAACCCUAAUCCACUACCCAAUUCAAAUAAAUGGGUUGAAUCUCGCACUCUUCGUGGCUCCAAACCAUGGGAUUUAAAUUUUGAACCAAAAACAAUUGAUAAAAGGAAAAAUCAAACCAGAAAAAGAAUCGAUUCUUCUCGAUGUGUCGGCGUCGAAAUCCUAGCUCCUCUCCCGCUCGCUUUCUCUUCCUUCGCCGCAGGAGACCGGCGAGUUGUCGCCUUCUAAAUGAAGAGGGGAAGGCAGAGCAGCGUGAGGUGGAGUAGGGCUAGAGGGCGGCGCGCGACCUGGAUGGAGGAGGUGGCGACGACGAGGCGAGGAAGGCGCGGAUUUGGGAGAGGGAGCCAAACCCUAGCGUACGUUGGGAGAGGGAGGCGCUAAGGAGAAAGGGUUGAGCGGAAGAGAAAGGAAUGAGAUGAAAAGUGCCCAAAUAAAAAAUAUAGCUAAAUAAUUUUAAUAAUAAUAAUAAAUUAUCUAACCUCUUUUGUUUCCCUCUUUUGUUUCCCGCGCAUUAUAAAUAACGACGCUAAACCCUAGCGUCGGUAAAAUUUUGACAGUAGAAAAAAUUGCUGACGCUUUCUAAAAGCGUCGGCGUAAAAGCGUCGGCACAUGCAUAUUUUUCUGUAGUGAAACUCCUCCUAAAAUAAGCAAUCUUGCAUUUUAAAAAAAAUUUGACAAAUUUUAGUCAAUUAGCGAAUAACCAUUCAUCAUAUUCAACACUCACAAUCGAGAUAAAAAUGGAGUAAAACUGAUAAUUAAUAUGAACUUAACUCAAAAUGAAUAAAGUGAAUUUGAGAUGUUCAAGACACUUUUCAAGUUUGAUCACCCAAAGAAAAAUUCAAACAAAAAAAUUUCAAGCAAAAUGAACAUCCAAACAUGUAAUGUAAUGAUCAAAGAUAUGCAAUGAGUAUCAACCAAAGCACUACACAAAAAUCAAAACAAAUUAAGAUUUAAGACAAGGAAAUAUAUCACCUUUCCGAACCCAAACUUGCCGGAUUGUUGGUUUCCUUAGUUUGUGGCCGUUGGGCACCGUUUGCUUUGACUUCCGAUCAAUCUUUGGUCUCCAUUUUGCAUUCGACUUCGUGGGAUUUUUUGUUGGGACUUCGACUUUGGAUUGAUCUUUGACACUCGACUUGGUUGAUGUUGCUUUCGAUCCGUAGGUCAUGUCGAGUACUAGAGGAUGCCAAUUGAUGUUUCUUUCCUUUUCUAGGGCAUGUCUUUUCGAUGUGACCUUUAUUUCCACAUCUAUAACAAACUUUCUCAUUCAAAUUUGUUGAGACUUUGAGUGUUGAAUUUGAACCUUCUCAACAUAUAUCCGCUCAAAUCUAAGCCCAAGUUUGUCCGUUUGACCCAAUCCGAGCAUAUGAUCUAGCUUUUUCAAUCUGGAGGAAAACUUGUGAAUGUCGGAUUUGAGUUGAUGAACUUGGUUGGUCAAGACUUGGUUGGAUGAUUGAAUUUCUUCAUGUUGUUUUUCUAAAAAAACAAUUUUUCCUUGAUAUGAUUUAACAAUUGAUUCCGAUUCAUUAAGUUUCUCUUGGAGGAUUUUGUUGUUCUUCAAUAUCGAUUCCCUUUCCUCCUCAAGAGCUUUAUUGGUGAUCUUUAAUGUUUUGUUCCCAUCUUCUAGCUCAAGCAUUCGUUUGCUUAGCUUCUCGCUGUGUUUAAUCAUCUUCUUUGAUUCAAUGAGAAGUUGUUGGUAUGCCUCGACCAAGCUUUCAUCAACCGACUCCCCCUUACUCUCGCCAUCAUCGCUCAACGUUCCAUGCAAUAAGGGAGAAACAAAAGAGUCAGAAAUAAUAGAUGGUAAACAAGUAAUAGAGGAAGAAGGUAAAGAAGUGUGAGACACUAAAGCUAUGGCAUUAUUCUUCUCCUCUUCACUUGAGAUCGAUUCAUCUGAAGUAGCAUCAUCCUAAGUUUUUGCUUGCAAAGCCUUCUUCUUAUAGGAUUUCUUAGUGGGACAAUCCGUAUAAAUAUGGUCAUAACCUUUGCAUUUAUAGCACUAGAUUCCCCCUUCAAAAUUAUCUUUUUCUUUAAAAGGUUUUGCAAGUUUUUUGUCUUUUGAUUUUGAGCUUGAAAAUCCUUUUGAAAAAGAUUUUUAUUUUGUGGAUGAGGCUUUGUUCUUCCGAAAGUUCCAACGAAAUUUCUUCGUUAAAAGUGUCAGUUGAUGUUCAAAGUCGGCUAGCGAAAUUUCUCCGUCGGAAUUCGAGUCAUCCUCCUCCUCCUUAGUAGAUUUGAGUGCAAUUCCUGUACUUUUAGAAGAAGACUUGACAGAAAAUUGAUUAGUAGGAAAAGUCAUUUCAUAUGUUUGUAAAGCACCAACUAAUUUCUCAACUUUCAUUUCAUCCGGAUGUUUAAUGGUUUCAAUUGCCGCAACCUUCGGACGAAAUCUCUCGGAAAGAGUUCUCAAGAUUUUUCUUACAACUUUAGGUUCCGAAAUUCUCUCACAAGUUCGUGCAUGUAUUAACUAUGUCUUGAAGUCGAGUAUAGUACUUGGUAAAAGUCUCAUGUUCCUCCAUACAAAUUGAAUCAAAUUUACUUAUUAAAAUUUGUAAUUUUUGGACCUUUACCAAGCUAGUUCCUUCAUGCGUAACUUGAAGAGUAUCUCAAAUUUUCUUUGCCGUUUCAAACGUCGAAAUGCGUGAAAACUCGGUUUAAGAUAAAGCGUUAAAUAAAGCAUUAAUUCCCCUACCGUUGUAAGACGAUAAAUCUUUCUCUUCCUUACUCCAUUUAUCACGAGGUUUUGGCUUUUCAACAUUCUCAACUUUUUCAGUAGGAUGUUUUUAUCCAAAUUCGAUGGAUUGCCAAACCCGCUCGUCAAUGGCUAUUAGAAAGACUCUCAUGCGAACCUUCUAAUAAGUGUAAAUAGUCCCAUCAAAUAACGGGGGCCUAUUAAUGUUACCUCCUUCACUUAUAAUGAAAGAUAAACCUAGAUCCCGCUCUGAUACUACUUGUAGAUUAUGGAAACCCUAGGAUAUAUCUAGAUACUCUCAAACACCUAAAGGGGGGUGAAUAGGUGUGUAGGCCAAAAACACAAAUCUCAAUGCGAUAAAAGUAAAUGCGAAAAAUAAAAUAGCACACCGAGAUUUACAUGGGAAAACUCCAAUUUGGAGAAAAAAUCCAGGGAAUCAACACGCGAAAAAAUAAUCCACUAAGAGAAAAAGAUUAUAAGGUGAUUACCGACUCUAUGGACUCGACCUCUCUUUGACCUCCUACGGAUCUCGCGCACGUCACCAGGUUGUCCACGCCCUACGUUCGAAUCCACAGACACCACUAGAAUCCUCGAGCACUCACGAUUCGAAUCCACGAGUCGCCUUGAUCACGCCGAAUCCACGACGCCGCACAUGAAGAGUAAAUUCAUGUUUAUAUAGUGAUCCUUUGCUUAGAGUAUCGCUGAAGGACCAGAGAAAAAUCUCUAAGAAAAACUUAGAUCAAUUCGACAUAUACAUAUUGAAUUCAAUAUCUCGAAUUGACCUAAAGAGGCUAUUUAGUGGAAAAUGGUUUAGAACGAAAAACCUAGCUUAUAGAGUUACUCUCUCAUGUAUUCUGAGUGCUUCAUCGUCAGAGAACCCUACCAUCAUAUUUAUAGACUUUAGAAUCAAUUAUGGUCGGAUUAGAGUCAUAUUAGAAAAUUUAUACAUUGACUACCGGUACUCGAAUGUGGGUACCAGUACGCCAUGACGCAACCGAAAUUUCCUAAUACUGAGUACCGGUACUCUGCCGAUGCCGUACUGGUACUCGGCCGAUGCAGUACCGGUACUAAAACCUGGUACUGGUACACAAUUCAAUCCGCAGAAUUGUUGCUCUCGGAUUAUGAGGAACUCAAUAUUGGGUAUCUGUACUUAAUAUAAAAAAUUAGGUUUUUCAACCCGAUUUUGAGGAACUGGAACCUGGUACCGGAACACAAUAUAAAAUAUUGUUAUAAACAAUUCAAAAGUUCCAAAAAUCAUUUCUAAUCCAUUAAUUAUUACUUAUAUGAUUCUAAUGUCAUAAAUCAAUAUGAAUCACCAUAAAAAACAUUUAAAUUAUACUUGAGCACCAUGAUUCAAUCUGCGAGAUGUUUUUGAGUUCUUCUAGCAAUCUCGGAUUCUUCCACCAUCGACAAAACGAACCAAACUCUUCAAUACUCCCACUCAAAUCACGAAACUUGCCAAUACAAAAUCCCUAAUAUGAUGGACAUAGUAGAGGUGGACCUUCAUAUAGAUCUAGAUCCUAUACGAACUACUACUGUUUACAUGCAGUGGUAUUGGAGGAUCACCAAGAGGUGGAUAUCUAGGCCAGUACAGCGUCCACCUCUCAUGUAUCAAGCACGUGGAUAUGUCGAGAGAGUAUUGGUAUAAUUUUAAUAUAUAAUAUCUCUUUAUAUUUAUUUUUAUAUAUAAAAAAAGUUUAGUGUAAUUUUCAUGAUGCUGCAUUUAUUUUAGGUAGAUGACGUGUCCGGCCAGAUAUUCGAUAUGGCGGAGUAUUAGAAACCCUGACACAAGUUGCCAAUCAAAUGGAAGCAGUUUUGUAGACUUUACCUACGCUUUCAGACACUGUACCUCUACGGCUAGCAGAACCUGGUGGACUAUCGAUGUCGGGCCAUGUACUACUAUAUAUAGUCCACCGAGGCCAUCUUCACUGAUAGAGGAGCCACUUUAUCAUCCAGACACAGUACCAGUACUAGAGGAUCCACCUCGACCAGCUGAUAUUGUUUAUCGUAGGCGCCGACGGCAAUUGCAAUCUCUCCACGGAAAUCAGCCCUCUUCUUCAGCUCCUCCACGACCAGACAUAGUACCAACAACUACUAUGGUUGAGCACGGGAUUAGAUGGGUGAUAGUGACACAGGACACUCAGCUAGUUGUUGAGGGUGCUGCUACUGAACAUCCCGACCAGUUGGAAGUCAUAGAGCCCUUUGAUGAGUAUGGUGUUGAUCGUGGUCGCGGCCGUGAUAGGGAACGUGUAAGUAGACGUAGUCGAGAGACUAGGAGGAGGACAUGACAUUACAUUUUGUAAAUUUUAAAUUGCACAGAACUUUCUAUAUUAUUAAAAAAUUACUAUAUUUUUUGAUAUUUUAUUAUGAUGAUAUGGUAUUGAUGUUCUAUUGAUGAUGUAUUGUUGUAUUGAUGUUGUGUUGUUGUGAUGGAUUUGUUGUUGUGUUGUUGAUGUUGAAUUUAUUGUGUUAUUGUGUUGUUGGAUUUUUGGUGUUGGAGAGGAUGCUGCCUGGGUUGGAGUUCUACUAAACACGAUGAACCAUUCACCAUGUCCAAACAUGAUGAAUGGUUCACCGUGUUUAGUGUAUUAUACUGGUUGAGAACGGGAUCAACAUAAGUUUUGAAUAGUACGGUGAAUCGUUCAUUGUUUGGACACGAUGAAUGGUUCACUAUAUUCAAUUUAACAAUGCACUACCCAACCUGCUAGCGUGGCGCUUACGUGGCCGCUCGCGUGGUAGGACUAUUUGUGAAAAAAAAAAUUUGAGGGGGCCAAAUACAAAAAAAAGCCCUUAUUAAAUAUGAUGACAUUCUUUACAUUUUAUUAAUUCCUUUUUAUAUUUUUUCCUAUUUUAUUAAAAUAAAUAAUAAUAUUUUGUAUUAAUGAUAUAGUAGAUAUGUUAACUCAAUAAUUUUAAAUGAUAAUUGGAAACUGAUUUGAAAUGACAAUGCAGGUAUAUUUUAUAAACAAUUAUUUUUUAUUAUCGACUGUCCAUAGAGCAAGUGCCAAAGGGUUUGGUGGUUGGUACUCGAGACCCAAGUUCGAAUUCUAGUUGAUUCACAUUUCUAGCUAAGUUUAUUUCUAAAUGAAAUAAACGAAGCGGGUAGCGUGCUACCUAUCUCUCUAAAAAAAAAAACAAUUAUUUUUUAUUUAUUUAGUUUCAACUAUAUGGUAUAAGAAGUUGAAUCGAAAUAUUAAUCGCUUUUAUAUUCAUUUUUAUCUUAUUGAAGUUAUGGUAAAAAUGUAAGCACACUCCUANUUUUUUUUUUUUUGAGAAAAAAGUAGCACGCUACCCGUUUCAUUCAUUAGAAGGAUGAAUUAGGCUACAUGGGUGAGGCAACAUUGGCUUCGAUGGGGGUGGAAAAAAAAAAUUAUGGUAAAAAUUUAAUGAAUGAAAUUUUAGUCGCUUUUAUAUUCAUUUUUAUCUUGUUGAAGUUAUGGUAAAAAUUUAAGCACACUCCUAGUUUUUUUAAUUUAUAUUAUAUAUUAUUUAAUUAAUGAUAUUCUUUAUAUUAUUUAAUUAUACUCAAAAUCUAAAAUCUUCUACAUAUUACAAAAUAAAAUUUUUUGUUUUAGAAAAAAAUUGUGCAUGCGAAUAUCCGAAAACUUAAAAUCAUAUAUGUAGUCGAUCACAAUGUAUGAUGUUAAAAGCAUACAAAAUUUCGUGCAUAAUUUUGAGCCUUCACAAACAAAACUAUUUUUUCACCCAAAAAAAUUUCUGAAAUAUAAUUGAUGUACUGUUCAUAAUAUAUUUAUUAUUAUUUUAUUUUAUAAUAAUAUGCACUGUUAUAAUCCGCAAUGUAGCUUGGAAUUUUCACUAUUUUGUGUGUGUUAAGUGUCUAUUUGUUUGGAUAAAAGUGGAGAGGGGUGAAGUUGUUUUCGACUGUAAAUGAUUAUUUUUGCUUUUUGUUUCGUCGUUUUAAAGAUACGGUCAAAUCUCUAAUUACCUGAAACAACAUAAUUGACUUCAGCUUAUCUCGGUAAAAAAAAGUAAAGAAAAUUAAUAAAAUAAUAUAAUAAGUAAUGCUAGUUAUAUUUAAAUAAUUUAAUUAUGUACUAAUUACUCUUUUAUUUAGUUUGUAUGUUUAAAAUAUGAAAAAAUUUGAUUAGUUAUGUUUUAUUGUUUUCUUCAUUUAGUUUGUAUAUCUAAAGUAUGAUGAAAAUUCAUUAGUUAAGUAAUUGUAUUUUUUUUUACUUUGUAAUUUUAUUAUUGUAUUAUUAUAAUUUAUGUAUAAAAAAUAAUUUAGUUAUUUUAGAUAAAAUUUUUUAAAUUAUAAUAAAAAUAUAAUUACAUUUUAUUUAUCAAUUAUAUUAUAAUUUAUUAUUUAUUAAGUUAUUUAUUAUUAUAUAUAAAUUAUAGUUUUAUUUUAUUUACUUUUUUACCUGUAGAAGUGAAGAAACUUUACUUUUAUAACUAUGAAACAACAGCUUCGGCCCCUUUUUUUUUUAUAUAUCUAGUUUGCAUUUUUAACAUAUAAUAAAAAUUGAGAUAUGGUCGUAAUAAAGAUAUGUUCAAAACUCUUGGCCGAACUCAAUUAUGGUGAAGGGAGGUAAAAAAUAAUAAAAUAAUAUAAUGGAUAAUGCUAGUUAUAUUUAAAAUAUAUUUAAUUAUGACGGUAAUUAUUUUUUUAUUUAGUUUGCAUAUUUAAAAUAUGGUAAAAAUUGAUUAACUAAGUUUUAGUGUUUUCUUCAUUUACUUUGUACAUUUAAAAUAUGAUAAAAAUUGAUUAGUCAAGUAUUAAUAUUCUUUUUAUGUUAUAAUUUUAUUGUUUUAUUAUUAUAAUUUAUAUAUUAAAAAAUAAUUUAGGUGUUUUAGAUUUAUUUUUAAUUGUAUUAAAAUACAAUUAUAUUAUUUUUAUUAUUUAUUAUUUAUUAAGUUAUUAUUAUUUAUACAUAAAUUAUAAUUUUAUAUUAUUUAUUUAUUUAUAAUUAUGAAAAUAAAGAGUGAAAAAAUACGAACUCUAUUUUGAUCUAAAGUUAAUUUCAAAUUUUCAAUCCAAAAAUUAAUUUGGGUAAAACAGACAGCCCCUGAUAAAGGUCGGUCGGUGAAGCGGUGGCGUGGCGUUUCAGCUUUGCAGACGCUGUCGUUCUUCAACUAAAUAAGGCCCCCGUCAAGGCAGCGUCUCGAUCCCGUAAAGGCGUAACCCUUGCUCCUACGCCGAUCAUAUUAUUAUUUAAUUUAUUAAUUAAUUAUUAUUAAUUAAAAAUCUUCGGUUUUCGGUCCAAGUUAGGGAUGCAAAUGGAUCCGGGUUGAUGGAGCUCCGCCCGAUCCGCCCCGAAUGGAGUGGUAAGUGGGAACAAAAAAUAUAAAAAAAUAUAAUCCGUCCCGAAUCCGCACCGAUCCGCCAAAUAAAUGGAGCGGGAGGUAAUCCGCGCCCGAAUGAAACGGUAAGUGGGAGGCAAAAAUAAAAUAAAAAGUAAUCCACCUCGAAUCCGUCCCGUCCCGAUAAGAAAUGGAGCGAGAGGUGGGAAAACUCUCCGCCGCCGGAUCCGCCCGGCUUGCAUCCCUAGUCCAAGUCUUCCAGCUUGGCGCAGCAGUACAAAACUACCGCACGAUUUGCCGUGCGACCGCCGCGAACAUGAACCGCCACGUUUCCGUGUAUGUAUUGCCGCGUGGGGUCUACCACCGCGUAUUCUCCCCGUCCUGCUGCGUCGCCCGUUCCCCACGGCGCGGUUGUUGCACUCGUCCCCCUUCCCCGUCCUACAAAAGAGGGGAAACGAGGGGGAAUCGAGGCGGAUCGUCUCUUCGAUUUUCGUUUCCCUCCUCUUCGCAUUCGGAUCUCGACUCGGGCGUUGCGGGCAGAAUUUGCUCCGAUGGGAACUCCGGAGUUUCCGGAUCUCGGGAAGCACUGCAGCGUCGACGACUGCAAGCAGAUCGAUUUCUUGCCCUUCACCUGCGACAGAUGCAGUCAGGUACUCUCUCCUCUUCUCUCCUCAAUUUUAUGUAUAUUCCCGUCCCGUAAAUAAAUUCGGGGUGAUUUAUCUUUUUCCCUUUUUCCUUUUCCCUUUGGGCUUCAAGAUUGUCGUUUCCUGUUCUGCCUUUCUUCUUAGGUGAAGACCGCCGCAAAGCUUUACGAAGUAAUUUGUUAAUACGCCCCCUAACUCAUUACGUCGUCGGUGAACUUCAGUUAUCAUUUCAAGCGGAUUAUUUAGUCAGUCGACAAAUGACUGCCAUGAUGAUUGACCUAUUUUGCUAUUAGAUGAUGUGGAACUGGAAUUAACUUCCAUAUCAUUUUAAGAACAUAAAGGCUCAGCUGCUGCUCUGUCUUUAGGAAAUAACGAGGCAGCUGAAUUAGCAUUGUCAUUUCUAAGAGAUAAUAUGGCUAUGAGAUAAUAUGGUAGCCGGUGAGAAAUCACAGUUAAAACAGUUGUCGCCUCGUCUCUUCAUUAAGGGUAAUUAAAUAGAGUUUGACAGAACUAUCGAUUUAAACAACAAGUGUAAGGGCUUUAUUUCAGCCAAUUGAAAUUUUGUGCCCUCACCGGAAGGAAUUUCUAGAUAGAUUCAAUGAUUAGUGCGGUAAUUUACGCUGGUUCUCUCCUUCGACAUCUUUAUUUUGUGAAAAUCUUGCUUCGUAGAUGAGUGUUUGCAUUUCCACUUUUGUUUAAAGCUGAAGCUAAAUUACUCAUCUUCAUCACUUGAGGAAGAAUGCUCUUCUUCUCCUGCGUCAGAUUUGUCAUCUCCAUGUCUUACUCUUCUUCUUCUUCCUCUUUCUCUUCCUCUUCUUUUUCUUCUUCUUCCUUUUCAGCAAAAGAUCAGAGGUGAGGGUGGAGCGAAGAAGCAGAGGUCAUAGAGGAGAGGAGUAGAGUGACUAAAAGGGGAAGUGGAGAUGAGUGAGAGAGAGAGCGACUUGGAGAGAGAUCAAGAAAGAGUUAUUCAGAGAUAGAUCUAGGGGGGGCAAUUGGACCAAACCUAACUUAAUUUGGUUUCUCAAGAGGUUAGUUUAGGGUUUAGGAUUUCUUAACUAAUUAAACCCACUAGGCCCAAUAAGAAUGGAUCCAAACUGAAUAUUUAUAAGGCGUGCCCUUGAGCCUAGCCCCAGGAGUGCGCCUGGGCAAGGUCGGCUUGCCCAUGUUCUCCCUUGGUGUAGGCCUCUGGGCCUUGUAUGCAUAGGCGUGCGCUUAUGCAUAGUGUGCGCUUGUGCGUAGGCGUGCGCUGAGGCCUGCUUUAGCCAACAAAUUUUACAAGCUGCAUACCAAGAUCUUUAGUAUUUUUUAUUAGUAAUAAAUGGUACCAAAUCAAUCUAAUUAUGCAAAAUUAGGUUAAAUACUCAUGCCGUCAGUCUUAUCAUUGGAACAGUUUUAAUCCCCCUUUUUUCUUAAAAAUAUAAAAAAUAGUUUCCAUUAAAAGUGAUAAAGAAAAUACAAAAAGAAAUAAUGACUAAAUUUUCUUAUUAUAAGAAUUAACAUUUGAUUGAAUUAUCAUCAUAAACGAGACAACAAUAUAUAGAAUUACUCACAAUCUGAGUUAUAGAAAAUCACUACAUUUGAAACUUUUGUAUGUUAUAGAGACAUCCAUUUUCCAAUUGAGGGAAAAAGGUCUCAAAUUUGUAGGGAAGUACUAGCCACUAUAGCAGUCAUUUCUAGCUGUCUUGAUGAUCUUUGGCUUGAAACUUAAGUUUUUAUGAUGUUACUUUGCGAUGAUCUUAUGCUUAUAAUUUUUAUCUUACUGACAUCAAAGUUUUCUAUAUAUUUGUGCAUUAUUUGUUAACCUCAUAUUGGUCUUAUUUUGGAGGUGACAAGGUAUUUUGUUCUUUACUUUUUCCAUGUGUUAUUUUGUUCUUUAACAUUGCUGUUUGGUUGCCAACUAUACCCAGCGUAGUUGGUUAAGGGUUUGAUGGUUGGUCCACAAUGUCCCAAGUUUGAAGCCUAGUUGCUUCACAUUUCUAGCUAAUUUUAUUUAUACAAAAUACUAGCUUGCUACCUUUUCUCUCUCUCAAAAAAAAAAGUUAUUUGGUUUCUUUUCUUCUCUUCAUCUUUUAUUUUUUCCGGAACAUGAUUAUUUGGUUAUCUAUAAAAUGCUUAUUGUGAUAAUAUGAUGUUAAAGAGUCUUUAGUGCCAUUUAACAAUUGUUAGAAAAUAUAUGCCUGCACCUUGCACCUUGCGGCUAGGCUCUAACAGCUCUUUGUGCCUUAGUGCACCUUAGGCUUUUGCCAAACACCGGGAUCUGUACAAUUUCCAAGACUUUCUGAGAUUUGCAGUAGAGCCAAUCAUGUGGAAAUCCACGAAAGUGCAAAUAGGUUGGCCCACUUAGUAAAAUGUACAGGCAGCCAUAAACUAUCGCAAUAUUGCAACUUGGUCCCCAUACUUAUUUAAGUAAUUUGGAAAAUUUCGCAUAUAUUGCACUUUUAGACCCUAAUCAUUAAAAGAAUUUAGUCAUUCUUUUGAAAUAAUUAUAAUACCUCUGCGUAAAAUAGUUGUCAUAUUUAGUUUAAUGCAAGUUGGAUUAAAAAGGCACUUUUAUGGCAGAAAUCAUGGUUUUUCUUAACUGUUCAAGGACUAAGUGCAACAUAUGUCAAAGUUCAAGGAUUAUGAGUGGAAAUAGAAAGUGUAGGGACCAACUUGCAAGAUCAGAAUAGUACAGGGACUAUCCAUACAUUUUACCCUUUGAAAUUUCAUACUCCAUGUGAAAUCUGCUUAUAUGAAAUUAAAAUUCAUGAUAUAAGUGUUUUUUGUGUGUGUUCAUUUUGCUCUAUUCACGAAUGAUGUCAACAUUUGUCAAUUAAGCGAUUGCAUCCACAUGUGAGGCUGCAUGCUCUGUCUAUUAGAAUAGUGUUUAAAGAAGGACCUUUAUUCGAUUAAUCAUUAAAAGAGAACGGUGACUAUAAUAACUAAACCAAGAUCCUGGCGGCUAAGAUGUUGGCCCUUUUUACGUUAGCCUAAUUCGCAUGUAUAUCCAACUCAAAUAUAAUCCCUGUAAAUUCUUGGUAUCUGAUGUUGGCAUCAUUUUUCCCCUUUUUUGAUGGAAGUUGGCAUCAAUAAUUUGUACUGAACUCUUUAAUUGUUUAUGGACUAUACUAAUUCCUGCCACCUCAGAGAAUUUAUUUAUGAAGCUGACAUAGUACUUUUAUAGCCAUAUAUGCGCUCAUAGUUGUUCCACAUGGCACAAUGACCUAUAUUAUUUCGCGUGAUUUGGAAGAGAAUAGAUACUCUAUUUUGUCCUGGAACGUUCAAGAAUGAGUACUUGAGCUUUAUUUCUUGGCACAGUUAGUUUGCAAAUGGACUCAUCUUCUCUUUACUCUUAUAAGUAUGCGAUUGUUUCAAUUUCUAUUGUUUUUUAGAAUUUUAUUUGAUCUGGACUGAAAAUUAGGUUGAUUUUGAGAACUACUGGGCUGAUUUUCUCUUUCCUUGAAACCCAGUGUUAAGAUGUAUUUGUCUAAAUUUGUUAGUUUUUCAUAGGCGUGCAAACAUUUUAAGUUACAAUAUCUAUUUUAUUUAAUUUUGUUCUCCUCUUGAUGCAAACCGAGAGGUUGCCAAAAUUGAAUUUUCAAGUUUACUUUUGUUUAAAGGUAAAACUAGGUUCAAUUUAUCAAUUCCGAUGAACUUUGAGUAAGGAAGUAAAAAUUUCAGUAAGACAAAAAUUAAAAUCGAAUUGAAGUAAUACUAAGAUGAUGAUAAACCUUCAGUAUAUGAGAUAAUAACAACCAACUGAAAAUACAUAUAAUAGUUCCAAGAGGUAAAUUCGGCUUUAUCGGACUUAAAGCUUUAGGUUUGGUUGUUUGGCAAAUAUGGUUGGUAAUGGUGGAAGGCUAAAUUAAAAGGGGAUAAUAGGAUGUUAGGAGAUGAGAGAUACAAAAAGUGCACCGUUCACACGAUUGCGGGGGAUCCACGAUCGACGAGGAGGGCGGUACACCACGGGUAGAACUUCGGCAACGGGAAAGAAAAAGAUGAGGUAGUGACUCGGAAGAGGAGGGGUAGAAAUAGAAGCCGAUCUUGUUACGAGGAAGAAGUGACAACGAUCAAGUUGAGGAAGAAGACGAUCUCGGCGCGAGGAAGAAGCGUCGAUGAUCUCACCGGAAAGUAGAACACCAAGGAUAAAGAGUGAGAGUAGAAUUUUCUAUUCAUCCAAAUAUAUCUCCCUUAAGGCUUCAAGAACUAUAUAUUUAUAGUGUUGAGAGCCCUCCUAUAAUAAAUUAUUGUCUUUUCGUUUUCAACAUAACACGGUCACCUAAGAGUCAUGCAUAGAAAACGAAGCAAUUUUGGGAACUUCAAAAGUCUUUUUUUGGGAAAUUCCAAAGGUCUUUUUUUGGAUUGUUUCCUUGUUUAUUGGAGAAAAGAAUUUGGGUUAGUCAAAUCAACUAAAACUAAAUGAUUUAAGUCCGAAUCAAACACGAACCUACAAAAUAAAAGAAAAUUGCAAUCAAAAAUAAAAUGAGGUUUAUUUGCUGCAUCAGUUCCCCUCGAGUUGGGGAAAUCUCGACUCCGUCGAGAUGGCAUCCUGAUAGCUCUGGUAUAAGUCCUCUCGAAGUUGGCGCAACUCUGCCUCAGAAAUCCAACUGCUAUUGGAUAAUGGUCGUCCAUGCCAAUGCACCAAGUAUCGGUGAUGAGUACCACGUCGCGUCGCAGACUCGCACACAUCCAGAAUAUCCUCCACACCAUCUACUGGAGUUUCAAUGUCGGAGUGAGAUGUCAAGCCAUCAAUAUCGACAGUAGAGGGAGCCUCUCCAUGAUACUCGUACAGCUUGCUAACAUUGAAGAUUGGGGACGUCGGUACUUCUGAGGGUAGAUCAAUUAGAUAAGCGUUUUCCCCUAACUUCUUCAGAAUUUUGAAUGGUUCGUACUUUUUCCUGUUCAACUUGCUAUAGCCUCCAGCUGGGAACCUUUCUUUCCUAAAAUAGAUCAAGACAUUAUCUCCUUCAUUAAAAGUCAUACCUCGGUGAUGUUUAUCCGCUGACUCCUUGUACUUGACAGUAGAACCCCGCAACCUCUGAUGAACCUGUUGUUGCACCUCUUGAAUCUGUUUUAGCUAAUAGUCGGCAUCUGCACUAACUCUACCAGGGUAAGGUAUUGGUGCUCGGUCAAGAAAGUGGGCAAUAGGACGGCCAUAUAAGGCUUCAAAAGGAGAUUUUCCAAUGGUUCGGUUUAUGGAACUGUUAUAAGCAAAUUCAGCUUGAGGUAAAAUUAAAUCCCAUUGUGUUAGUUUUUCUCCAGCUAAACAUCUUAAGAGAUUACCCAAAGAUCGAUUUACUAUUUUCAUCUGUCCGUCAGUUUGUGGAUGGUAUGGGCUGCUGAAAUUCAAUUUGCUUCCUGCCUUUGACAUUAAAGUUUUUCAAAAAUAACUAACAAAUUUUGUAUCUCGGUCAGAGAUAAUUGAUUUAGGAAUGCCAUGUAAACGUACAAUUUUAUUCAAAAUAGUUUUGCAAUAUGUGAUGCAUCAGAAGUUUUCUUGCAAAGAAUAAAAUGAGCCAUCUUCGUAAACGAUCAACAACCACAAAAACUGAAUCAACUUGGCGUGUAGUCUUGGGUAAGCGUAGGACAAUUUUCCAAUGACUGGUCGCAAGACUUGUGCUAUAAAUCAGAAUGUCGUCGAAGUAAACUACGACAAAUUUUCCAAUAAAUGGUUGCAAGACUUGGUUCAUAGAGCGCAUGAAAGUACUAGGGGCAUUGGAUGGCCCAAACGGCAUAACCAGCCACUCGUAUAAUCCUUCUUUAGUUUUAAACGCUGUUUUCCAUUCAUCUCCAGGUCGAAUACGGAUUUGAUGAUAUCCGCUUUUACGGUCAAUCUUAGAGAAUAUCUUCGCACUUCCUAACAUGUCAAGCAUAUCAUCAAUCCUAGAAAUGGGAAAUCUAUACUUGAUGGUAAUUUUGUUGACUGCACGACUGUCAACACACAUUAGCCACGUACCAUCCUUUUUUGGUGUAAGGAGAGCAGGCACCGCGACAGGGCUCAUAUUUUCUCUAAUGUAACAUUUUUGCAGAAGUUCAGAGACCUGCUUAUGUAACUCUUCAUGUUCAACGAGACUCAUCCUAUAAUAGGCUAGGUGUGGAAGACUAGCACCGGGUAGAAAAUCAAUGCAGUGUUGGAUGUCUCUCAUAGGUGGAAGGUCAUCGGGGAGUUCCUCAGGCAUGAUAUCAGAAAAUUCAUUAAGCAAUGGUUGAACAGUUUGAGAAACUUUAGUGUUCUUCGAUUUUUCUUUUGCCAAAAGAAUAUAUACCAUUGGAGACUUUGCUAGAUCUUUAGAGAAUUGGCUUUUGUUCAAAACCAUCAUUUUCUGCUCAUUAUUGGAGGGUUGCCUUUGGGACUCAAUUGCCUUAGAUUUUGGUUUGGGAAAGUAAUUCAGGGGAAACAAUCUAAAUUUUUUGUUGUCCUUUGUGACAAUGUAAGUGUUCUCCCUACCAUCAUGUAUAGUGCUACGAUCAAAUUGCCAAGGUCUACCUAACAAUAGGUGACUCACAUCCAUGGGAAUAACAUCACACCAAACUUUAUCAAUAUAAGUUUUUCCAAUAGAAAAUUCAACAAGACAUCUUUCAGUUAUAGGAAAUUCAUCCCCAUCCUUAAACCAAGCUAUUUUGUAAGGUUGAGUAAGUUUUUCAGUUUUCAGUUUAAGUUUAUCAACCAUUUCUCUAGAGACAAAGUUUCGGUACUACUAUCAAUGACGAGAGAGCAAAACUUGCCUCCCGCGCUACAGAUGGUUCUGAAAAGGCUACGACGCUUCCAAUCAUCUUGGGUGGACUUAGAGGCUGAUAGGACUCAAUGGAGCAUGAGAUUUGUUUCAGUAGCAUCAGGAGAUUCUUCGAAAAUCUCAUCUACAUCUUCUUGUUCUAAAGUUUCUUCGCCAUUUUCAUUUUCUUCAUGACUUUCUAUUAGAUUGGCUCUAGAAUUAAAUUUUCUCAGAAGGCAAUCAGAGGAUUUAUGUUCAGGUUUGUUACAUUUAUAACAAAUAAUGCCAAAUUCAACGGGUUUUGCACUUAAAAUUCCUUUGCCCUUAAGGUCUUGAACAGGUUUUGAAGAGGUUUGACUAUCGUUCUUUGGGAUAGGCUUAGUUCCUAUGGUGUUCUUUUCGCUCGCACUUUCCUAACGAAAGGUUUGUCUUUUAAGUUUAUUCUCAGCCUUAAGUGCAAGACUAUAAGCCAUGUCGACCCUGUAGAAAGUUAAAAGGGCUAACUCAUUUUAGAUUUGAGUUCGAAGACCGGCUAGAUAGCGAGCUAUUCGCUGUUCUUCGUCCUCUUUAAGUUCGUUACGAGCUUGAAAGGUGUAAAAUUCUUCAGUAUAUUCUUGUACCGAUUUAGAUCUUUGUUUAAGAUUGUGUAAUUUUUGAAAAAUAGUUUGACGGUAAUCAAUCGGUAAGAAUUUUCCUUUAAGUUUUUGUUUCAUUCUUUCCCACGAGAUAAUCAUUUCUUUACCCUUUCUAACCCUAUCGUUUUGAACUUAUUUUCACCACACUAAGGCAUGUCCUUUCAAUUUAAGGGAGACAAAUUUAACUUUUUUGUCAUCAGGUAAUUCUUUCCAUUCAAAAAAUUGUUCUAUUUUGUCUAACCAAUCCACAAAAUCUUCAGGUUGUAAUUUACCCUCGAACUCACUCACGUCCACUUCAAUGCCCUGAUCCCAUCGAUGUAUAUUUCCUUGAGUUUGAAAAAAAGGAUUUCUUCUAGCAGAUAAAGUACGAUUGUCAAAAUCAGGGUUACUUUUCGAAUCUUCUCCAACUGCAUUUUGUUGUUGUAUACUUAAUCUUUCCAAUAGUUGUUGAAUGUUAUUCAUUUGAUUUUGCAUACUUUUCAUGGAAUCUUAUUUUUUCUCAUAUGUUUCUUUCCAAUCACGAGGAUUUUCACUAUUGCCAGCCAUUUCCAAAUGCUAACAAGUUGAUCAAAAAGUGAUGCUCUUUUUUCUUUUUUUUUUCUUUUUUUUUUUUUGAAAUAUUUUGGCCCAAAGUUGAAUACCAGGAAAAAGUUGUUUAGAUCAAAACAAACGCUCCCACGAAAAGAACUUGCUCUGAUACCAAUUGAUGCAAACCGAGAGGUUGCCAAAAUUGAAUUUUGAAAUUUGCUUUUGUUUAAAGGUAAAAGUAGGUUCAAUUUAUCUAUUCCGAUGAACUUUAAGCAAGGAAGCAAAAAUUUCAGUAAGACAAAAAUUAAAAUCGAAUUGAAGUAAUACUAAGAUGAUGAUAAACCUUCAAUAUAUGAGAUAAUAACAACCAAUUGAAAAUACAUAUAAUAGUUCCAAAAGGUAAAUUCGGCUUCAUUGGACUUAAAGCUUUAGGUUUGGUUGUUUGGCAAAUAUAGUUGGUAAUGGUGGAAUGCUAGAUUAAAAGGGGAUAAUAGGAUAUCAGGAGAUGAGAGAUAUAAAAUGUGCACCGUUCACACGAUUGCGGGGGAUCCACGAUCGACGAGGAGGGCGGUACACCACGGGUAGAACUUUGGCAACGGGGAAGAAGAAGAUGAGGUAGUGACUUGGAAGAAGAGGAGAGGUAGAAGUAGAAGCCGAUCUUGUCACGAGGAAGAAGUGACAACGAUCAAGUUGAGAAAGAAGACGAUCUCGGCGCGAGGAAGAAGCGUCGAUGAUCUCACUGGGAAGUAGAACACCAAGGAUAAAGAGUGAGAGUAGAAUUUUCUAUUCAUCCAAAUAUAUCUCCUUGAAGGCUUCAAGAACCAUAUAUUUAUAGUGUUGAGAGUCCUCCUAUAAUAAAUUAUUGUCUUUUCGUUUUCAACAUAACACGGUCACCUAAGAGUCAUGCAUAGAAAACGAAGCAAUUUUGAGAACUUCAAAGGUCUUUUUUUGGGGAAUUCCAAAGGUCUUUUUUGGAAUUGUUUCCUUGUUUAUUGGAGAAAAGGGUUUGGGUUAGCCAAAUCAACUAAAACUAAAUGAUUUAAGUCCGAAUCAAACACGAACCUACAAAAUAAAGGAAAAUUACAUUCAAAAAUAAAAUGAGGUUUAUUUGCUGCAUCACCUCUCCCCUGAUCCUUUAAUCCUUCCCAUGAAAUUUUUAUGAUAAAAGUUCUAAUGCACCAAAGUUUUUGAUUCCUGUUGAAACUAGUCUUUCUGUUGUUUGUAAUAUAAAAUUUCUUUUGCUGUUUUGAGCAUUGAAAAAAAUCCAUGAACCAAUGUUGUCCUAUUUUAAUUUAUUUUCUUAUGACUUUAAAAAAUUUCUUGUACAAAAUUGUACUCACAAUUUCGAUUUUGAGAGAAGAAAGCUUAAUGAUUGGUGCUAAUGUAGUGAUGCGGCACGUUUUCAAAAAGGAGAAUGAAAGUUUUUACUUUUGCUUUUUUUUUUUUGCUUUUUUUUUUGUAAAUGAACCCCCAUGUCUUCUUAGAGUUGAAUAAUUGUUAUGACGAACAAGCUUCGGGAGUUUUUUUUUAUUAUUUUGGUUGAUAUUACAAGGACUAAAUUGAAGUUGAGGUCAAACUUUGGAUAAAGAUUUCUAAUGAACCAUUAAUAAAGAGGCCGCUUUCUUCUCUGUUUGUUAAGAGUCCUCAAGUUAUACUAGGCGUAACUCGAAAUAUCUUUAGUAAAAGAGGUGUACAGAAUCACUUGUCGUUUUGUCAGCUCAUGCUUAUCUGCUACGAAUAUUAUAACAUAUCACAAUUCUGAGAAUUCCCUACUGUAAAGACUCUUAUAGAUGGCAUUUUUGUGUGUCUGUGAGGGAGUCAAUAGGUUUGUACAUGGACGUGGAUUCAACUUCCUCUAGAAAUCAAUACACAUUAUGCUACCUUUCUUUAAAUAUAGAUAUAUUGAAGCUCUGCGAGUAUUAGAAGUACACAAUUCCAUGUUAAGAUGCUUAACAGAAGCAUUCCAAUAGUUGACGCCAUAUGGUCAGCUUGUGUUCUUAUUUCUCUUAUUUCCAUGAUAUAUGCAUACGUGACUGCUUUUGCAGGUUGAAAGUUUCAACUGUUAAACCACAUAAAAUUAUCUUCCAUUUUUCCUUCAAGUAAACUUUCCUUCAAAUCAUUGAUUCUUUCAAUUUACUACAAAGUACCAGGCAAUAAAUUAUAUGAUUUCUAAACUGAAAUGCGUAGAAUUCAUCAAUUUAUUCUUAUUCUUUUUAAACUUAACUCCCCAUUCUAUUCAAAUCUGAUGCCUCUACCUAAACAUAUCCAAUAAACGCUAAUUUAUACUUGAUAACUAAAGUAGAUGCUAAAACUGAUAUAGGUAAUUGAACAGGUUUGUCUGUGCAUGAGCAUGUGUGCAUGUGUGGCAACAUUCUCCUCCUGUCGACUUCAAUUAAUUUCUCACUUGCUUUUAGUCAUUAUACUUCUCGUUGAGCUGUUUUCGACUGUUUAAAAUUUUAAAUGUGGCACAGGUGUUUUGUCUUCAACACAGGGGUUACACCAAACAUCUGUGUCCGAAUGCAAAUCAAAAGGAUGUGACUGUCCUAAUUUGUCCGCUCUGUGCUAAAAGCGUCCGCCUGGUGCCAAAUGAAGACCCGAAUAUCACUUGGGAGUCCCAUGUUAACAGCGAUUGUGACCCGUCAAACUAUCAGAAAGCAACAAAGAAAAAGAGGUGUCCUGUUCCAGGUUGCAAAGAAACACUAACAUUUUCCAACACAAUCCGAUGCAGGGACUGCACCAAAGAACACUGCUUGAAGCAUAGGUUUGGACCAGACCACAAGUGCAUUGGGCCGAAGAAACCGGAUCCCAGCUUCCCUUUCGUGAAUCUGCUACGGAGAAGUCAGAAAGCGGAAUCAGUAUCGAACAGUGCUCCUAUUGGUUCUUCAUGGUGGGGCUCGAGCUUUCUAAAUGCAGCAUCAAAUGCAAAGGCCUCUGCGGAAGCUGGUAUGCUGAGAUUGAGUAAUGCAACGACGGAAGCGUUCCAAAAGGCAAGAGAUGGAAUAGCACAAAGCAGCAGCAGGUUCGCCCUUAUGGAGCAAUGUGUUCAAUGCCAAGCAAGGUUUUCCACAGUGUCAGAUUUGAUCAAGCAUGCCGAGAGAUGUCAUCAAAACACUGUUCAGCUAAAGCGUAACGGGGUAACAAUUGACAUUUGCCCGAAAUGCAGCAAGGGAUUUCAGGAUCCUGUAUUGUUGGUGGAGCAUGUCGAGAGGGACCAUGGAGGAACUUCAAAAGUUGUCCAUUCAACUUAAUUGAAUUACCACCUGUUUCAAUAUCUUGUUCCAUUUGUAACUGUGAUCAAUGAAAAUAUUACUUGAUUGAUAUAUGGAACUUUUAGUAGUUUCUAUUUUUGGUUCCCUUUAUCUUACAAACAUGAUUCAUGCUAAGUGGUAAAUUAUGGCAUCCUUUCUUCCUUGUUCGUAAUGUUUAAUUUUUGUAUAAGCUUUACCGUGAUAAGAAAAUUUGUAUAUUCGUUUUGCUUCGUUGUUAGUAUUCUGGACCCUCGCUAAGUUUCUUUGUUUUUGGGGGUGUUUGGCCUAACUUUUAAGAAGUGAUUUUAGACUCAAAAGUGAUUUUCGGCUCAAUAGAGCAUUUGGCAACCUCGUUUUCAAAAUCUGAUUCUGAUUUUCAAACAGUGCUCAUAUAUGCAUGUAUACUUUUGCAGGGAUAGGUCUGUAAAUAUCUCUUAAUAUAUCGAGCAUAGGGAUGACUUGGGGAUAAAGUGGGCAUAGUGCUAUUCUAAUGCCGAAAUAGUUAUUCCGUGAUCAUCCUUCAAUCACGUGGUAUGAAGAGAACGAUUGCUCCUGGUGUGCCUUCUUUUGCUUCUUUUUGGCGUAUAUAUCCCGAUCAAUGCUGUGUUUUAGUCCUUCACGUCUUCUUACUUCAGUAAUAGAAAGCAUUCUUUGUUGUGCAUAUUAGUCUUAACUGUGCUUUUUUGUGCAUGUUAGUCUUAGCUGUGCAUAUUAGUCUCUAGGACAAAGCCAAGAUUGCCCAGGAUAAUCAGUUAUCUCUUUAUUAAGAGUUUAUCCAAUGAGUGAGAUGCAUCCUUAAUUGUAAAUCAAAAUACUCGUGUUGGAUUUCCUUUCUAUACAGAGUUAAUUUUCAAAACCUUCAGUGCUGCAAUAGAGUUAUUUCAUUAGUUAUCUUGACUUGGAUUUCACAAAUUGGAAAAUUUCCACAGAUUGUGGUUAUUCUUAGUUCUAGCAAUGUAGGUCUCUUCAAAAUAGUUAUGAUUAUUGGAAACUAGUUUGUGUUUAAGCAUUGUUUCCGGGGAUACCGUCGAUUUAUUUACUUAUUUUCUUAUACCUUUGAAAAUUAGUUAAAAUGCAUGGAGACGAUUAUACGAGAAAGGACUUUGGAUCCUGCUUGCCGCUAUUCUUCUUUAAUGGGGUCUCCACACUUGAGUUCAGAGUUGGCGCCUCCUUUUCAAUCUAGUUCAAGAAUCACUGCUAAUUUGGCACCUGAAUCAAUUCAUGGCUCCUCUAUUUCUAACUUCUCUACAGCGCUUGGUAAUGACCGUUCUUCUUUUCAAAGUGAGUUGAAUUGAAUAGAGAAGUUUGUGAAAUUUGACUCCUCUGCAUUAUUUUAGCAACAAUUAUAUGGUCUCUUGCAGGAUAUCGACCUAAUGGACAGCAUAGAGUGGUUGCUAACUUCUCUUCUUGUUCGAACGGUAGAGUUAUGGAUUCAAUUGGCAGCAUUUUGGGAACAAAUUUCGCUCAUCAAGCUUCUGAUUCAUCAUAUUUGUGUUCUACUCCCUGUAACGCUUUGUUAGCAAGAGCUGUCCAGAACAACGGAGCAAGUUCAAAUAUAUUAUGUGUACGUGAUAAUGGAUCGAGGUCUCUCAAUGAUCAAACUAGAAUGAUCUUUGAGCAGUACAAUAUAUAUGGUACUAGUUAUUCUUUGCAUGGUGCGUUAAUUUUAAUGGGAGGUUCAGCUUGUCUCAGUUGCAUUCUGUUCGGAUUUCUUAUGGCUACCGACAAGAUCUAAGCAAAAGUGAUUUUCAAAGUUUAAGUGAUUCCGAUCAAUAUUAUAUGUUUUGAAGCUUUUAAUAGUUCUUUUAUGAUCUUGAUGCUUUCUUUUUUUCUCGUUAUAAUUGUAUCACAUUUGUACUUGGCAGAUAAUACACAUUUGAGCUCGGGCUCUGAAGCAUGUGUUCCUUGGAUGCGCAAUUCAUCUCUAUCAGCACUUGGUUCCUGCAGGAAAUCUAAUUUUAUGGAUAAAUUCAAUUGCGAAUCCCCCUGUGUUACUGGACUGUGCUGGAAUGGCUUCUAUUUUGGGCUUAGGGGCAUCGAAGCGGGCCACGAAGCAUUCACAAAUUUCCAGAAUCAGUUCUGGAGGCGCAUGAUUUAUUACAAGGGCAAUCUUCUCAGGAUACCCAAUUUAGUAACAAUCAUCACCAUGUAUUGCAAAAAGAAGAUAACUUUGGGCAGCAAAAGGAGUUGACUGAGAAAAAUGCUGUAGGCCCUUCACAGUGGAACAGUAAAUUAAUUGAUUUUGCUCAGGUGAACAGUAAUGUUGCAGAAACUCAUGAAAAGUCUCCUACCUCGAGUAACAAAUUGGGCUUGGAGAAAUUGAUUAAUUUUCUAGUUCUUUAUGAACAUGUAUUGAGCUGCCCACUUCGUGAAAGGGAAUGUGAUGUACACCUUUGUCCAAAUUUUAAAGAGAAGCUUAAUCACAUUUUGAAUUGUAAUGUUAAAGGUUGCGAAAAAAGUUGUUAUGGGCCCGGGGUAAUCAUCGAUCAUUAUAGCAAGUGCCGCUCAAUUGAAUGCUAGUUGUGUGGUCCAGUCUGGAGAAAAUUAGCAGAAGUUCCUGACCAGCUGCGACCUGCAAAACAUUGUAGGACUGAAAGCUGUAGUGCCUUUCUCUCCAGUCAAAAUGAAACUUUUAAAGAACAAUGGCCUGCCCUGAAUUCUAAUGGUUCUUCUUCCCAAGGUUCAUCGAGAACAUUUCAAGGGACACUGAUGUCUACGAAUGUGAGCUCUGAGAUUCAAGUGUGUCUAUGAAUCAGAAAUUUCUUGAUGCUUCUACUUCUAAAGUUGACGACUGGAAUGUGAACCUUGUGAGGCUGGAAGAGACUAAAGUGCAACAAGAGCAAGAAAAGACAAAGAUGCAGAAUGAGGUCGAUGAUGCAGUUGAAAUGCAAGAAAAUGCAGAAAUUCAGAACAAGGACAAUGACUUCGUCGUCAGGAUGCAAGAAGACGCACAUAUUAAGGACGAGGACGAUAAAAUCGUGCUCAAGCUACAAGAAAAAAUAAAAAAUUAGAAUGAAACUGGAGUCAGAAUUGUGGUCGAGAUGCAAGAAAAUUCACAAAUUCAGAAUGAGGGCAGUGAGUGCCCAUAAGGAGAUAGCCGGGCCCUAACACGGGUGAGCAGCAGAGGGUUCCGGUGUCAAAUUUGACACUUCCAGAAAUCCAGAUCGGAAUGAUUAUCCGACGAUAAUCGUUUCGACUUGAGAUCUUGUGUUCGCUACCUGGACACCCAAAGCGGUGUGUUUCGGGUCAGCGGGUGACUCGUGGAACGAGUCGAUGCACUUCGUGACACUUCUUGGGUCCCAACGGUGUCCCGAUAUGAUUUUUGGGAGUUCCGACGAGUUACAAUGAUUGGUUUUUGGGAAACUGACUAUGUGAGAAAUUAUGGGGAUUGUGAGUGUUAUGUUUUGAGUCAGUAGGUUGGACUCUGACUCUAUGGACCCUUUGUAGGUCUGGUCGACGACCUUGCAUAUUAUAGGGACAGACGCGAUAGAGAUACAGGUGGGUACUUCGAUCCGAAGUCGGUCUAGUGGUGCACGCUCGCUGAUGUUCCCUCCACCUUCACUUUCUAUACUUCUUGCAUUACUUGUGAUUGUUGAGCCUGACACCACACGACCCUGUUGCAUAUUGCUCUACUUAUUUAUUUUCAUAUUCACUUAUUGUGAUCUAGAAGUAGAGCGGUUAUUUACUAUACCUGUGGAUUGCGACUUUCGUUGUGACCUAGUUGGUCGGUUCUAUAACUCCUGUUGUUUGAUGACUAUUCGGUCGGUAUAUCCUGAGGGUUUUGAUUGUUGGCUAUUCGCCGACAACUAUUGAUCAUAUUUGCAUCUAUCGCCAUUCCUCGUGCGCAAUUCACGUACACUAAUAGUUUGGCCACCGCAACGAUGUUCUUUUCCGAAAUAAUGGUUGGGAGUGCCAACCCGUAAGCCCAGAAGCUUAUGCUAGGGGUAUACGUCAUUUAGAAUGGCGUGGCACUUACCUUAAGUCUUUAGAUCGACACGGCGGAUUUUAAUUGGGUACUUUGGGACUAUUGUCCGGUUGAUACAUUUUACUUACAGUAGUGGUAGCUGUAGAUGCAUCUUGCUUCAUCUUUUACUUUGCUACUGACCUACUGUAUUACCUUUCACAGCUAUACUUUUGGUUACCAGUGAGUACACUCGCCCUCGUUGGCUUGCGGUACCCCUAGUUGGUUACCAGUGAGUACACUCGCCCUCGUUGGCUUGCGGUACCCCUAGGAGACCCUUGUUGGUUCCUCACCCCCAAGUUCAGAUAAUUUUGGAGGCACGAGUCGGGACGAGGCGUGAAGACGUAACCAGCAAGCGAUAGAGGUCCUAUCCCGGUAGUAUUUUGGUUCUAGACUUUACACAUUUUUUAUUGAUAAAUAAUCCAAACUAUUUAUGUGGUUCAACUUAACUCUUGUUGGUUUUGUUCUGAUUUUACUUUGAGUUUGAAAUAUUAAAUAAAUCUAUUUUGUAAGCACCAUGUGGAUUUAUGAAAAUAAUUUUCUAUCCCUCGUGGUAGCUCAUUUUCAAAGAUAAUAAAAGGUGUCCAUGUGGAAAACAGUUUUUUAAAAAAAAAUUUGCCUUUUCGUGAGUUUAGUAUUUCAAAAAUAAGUUUCCAAAUGGAAAACACUUUCAACUUUUAAUUAUGAAAUGUUGCAAAUCUUGUAAUGUACUGUUGUGAAUGUGCAAUUGUUAAUGGAUGUGAUUGUGACUUGUACUAUGUGUGAUGCCGGUAAAUAUAAGAAAGACUCUGCCUGCAUGGACAGUAUAUUUUCUGUAUUUGUAACGAGUCUAUCAUCCCUUGGAUCAAGAUUUCAAAAGAAAAAAUAUGGUAUAUUUCUCACAGAUCCAUUGACUUCAAAUUAGCCCUCCUUAAGGGCUUUAUAAAGAGCUUUAGGUUAGUGAACUUCAAUCUCACAAGACAUCUGCUAACUUGUUGAUAUACACACACUAAUCCAACCACGAAAUCACAACAUGAGAAGAACAAGACACUAGGAAAAGAAGAAGGGCUUUUUUUGCAAUUGGACCCCUGAAAAAAAUUAUUUUUAAAAAUAAUCCCAGCAAAUUUAUAUUUGCAAAAAUAGCCCUGUCCCUGCCACCCAAGCGUCACGUCAGCGCCACGCGGGCAGGACUGGAGGCGGUAGUUAAGUUAAACACGGUGAACCAUUCACCGUUCUAAACAUGGUGAAUGAUUCACCGUGUUUAGAGCUAAUACGUAUUUUUUACAAUAUAAAUAUUUGAAGGUGAAUGGUUCACCGUGUUUAGAGCUAAUACGUAUUUUUUAUAAUAUAAAUAUUUAAAAAAAGGAAUAGAGAGUAGAAAUGUCAAUGGGUAUGGAUAUCUGAAAUAUUAUUCGAACCCAAACCCGAAUAAAUUAUAUAUAUACAUAAUUUUUUUUAUUUAUUUAUACAAUAUAUAAAAUAUUUAAUAAUUUUUAUUUCUUAGAUCUUUAUCCAACAUUAUAGAUUUUUAAAAUCCGCUGGAUUCAGAUUCGGAUUUCGAGUUUUUGGUCGGACAUGAGUAUAAAUUUUUAAAAUCCGUCAGAUUUGGGUUUUAAUUUGAUUUUCGAAUUCUGGAUUUGGAUUUUUGAAAAAGGGAAAAAAAAAGGAAUAAAAAUAUGAAACACGGUGAACCAUUCACCGUGUUUGAACACGGUGAAUGGUUCACCGUGUUUAACUUAACAUACUGGCCCCGGCCCUACCUGCGUGCCGCUGACGUGGCGCCUGCGUGGCAGGCCCAAGACCAUUUUUAUAAAUUAAAUUUUGAUAGGGCUAUUCUUAAAAUAAAAAUUUGUUAGGAGGCUAAAUGCAAAAAAAGCCCAAAGAAGAAACAUCACAGCGCAAACAUUAGGAUUGAAUAGUAAGCAAAAUGGAUCGCUAAUAAUUACAAGCUACAGAUAGGGAAAACAAAAAAAUCUAAAGGAAAAUUCUUCCUAUGACCGACAAACAAUUCUACCUCCUGCAUGGAUCAAAGUAAAUAAAAUUGACAACAUAAAUAUAUCUUCUACAUUUUCUUUUAAUGCAACAGUACUGCAACCAUUACUAUGCAAGAGCACCAAGUGAUGGACUAGCAUAGCAAACUACCACAUAAAUCUCUGCACCCCAGCCUCAUGUUCCCAACGAAAUGGACGAAACAAAAACAUAGCCAUUGUGAAAAUAUCCACAGCAGCAUACAGAAGCCCCAAGACCAGCCACUUACUAUUUUCGGUAGCUGGGGAAUGGAGAAUUAGUAAAAAGAAAGGGAUUGUGAAGUAUCUGAACUCAAUCAGUGGAGCGGGGAUGAGAACUAGUGCGACGCAGAGAACAAAAGACAACACCCAAGCCCUUUUUUGUGAUUCUCCUGUAACAUGAAGAAGCAAAAUAAUAAGCUGAAUAGGGGAUAAAUCAGAUCAGUAAGUGGUUAGGCUUCUAUUACUCACCUAAAAUUGUAAUGAUAGAAAACCAUGAGUAGACAUAAAGAGGGACUAAGAUGUAUUUCAUUGUCGAGUGUGCUUGGAUAACCUUCCUCCAGAUAUAGAAAGGGUAAUGGCGAUUAUCGGCUAGAAGAUAUGGAUGAGCAAUACUGCAAGCACAAUAUAAAGAAAUCAUAAAAUCAAUAAAAAAAAAAAAGGCUCACUUUUUUCAGGUCCAUCUGAAUGGGAACUAGAACAUUUAGUAUGUAUGAGAUAACAACAAGGAUAAAGCUCAAUCAAAACCCCAGAUUUCACAUGGCAUUUAUAUAAUUCAACAAGACCAUUUGAAAAAAAAAAAAAAAAAAAAAAAAAAAAAAAAAAAAAAAAAAAAAACGUUAAUUUAUUUUUGGACUACACAACUUUAUCAACAUUCUUGGUUUUCCAUAUUUAGACCAAAAUACAUUUUUCCUGGAUGAAAAUGUCCACGAUUGAAGUUUCUAAUGAAUAUAUUAGUCAUAAGGAGUGCCACAGAUAUUAAGUCAAUAAAAGAGAUUUCAGCCAGAAAUUGCAGCAUCCUGCUGAAUAAAACAAAAUUAAUGUUUACUGUUUUUUUUUCCCCUUCCCAAAAAUAGGUUCAAAGAAUUAUUGUUUGCUCGAAGCUUUAUUAUGUGAGUAUAGGAAAGGUUCAAUGAGCUUCAGCAUUAAAUACUAUAAUAUUUAUGAAAUUCUCCGUCUAUCCUGUCAAUUCUAUCUUGUGUGUUUACCUCUGACACUGUUCAAAAUUUAAUAUGCCGUCACCAUGAGCCCAAACUUUUAUCUAUUAUUGUAUUUUUGGUAUUUACUGACUCCAUGUUACUUAAAAAGAGCCCAUCCAAGAGCCAAGUCUCCUAAUCAGCUAUUGCUUUACGAAUCCAAACAAGAUCAAAGUCCUGUUUCAAAAUAAAACUCUGACCUGAAAAAGUGCACAAUUAUACAACUUGUGCCAAGAGCUGCGAAAACUAGAAAAGAGCCAAGAACCUUGUUACGCUUAAAUAAUUGGCAUAACUUUGCUACUUGGUGAGGAGUAAAAUGAAAAGGAGCUAGGGCCGCAGCUGACACCAGACCAAAGUACAACAACUGUGCAAAGUGUGGAGAAACCACGUGAGCUUCUUUUGCACCUGCAACAUUGCAAAAAAAACAAAUUGUAAAGCUUGUUUUCUCUAAAACAAUAAGAAUUUGUUCAAUUCUAGUGCAGCACGACAAUUUAAAAGGUGGCAGCUAAAAAUAAAUACCAAGAACUAUGCCCCUAUUCCAAAUAAUGAAGGCCGCAAAUGCUAUUAGAAUCAUGGCAUAGGGCGCAAAGGCAAUCAAGACUUUCCACUUCAAAGACCAUAACUUCAAGGUGAUAUCGAGUAUUUCAAUAAUAAUACCUGCAAGAUAAUUCUAUUCGAUGUCAAAUAAACAUCAAGGAAAGCGAUUAAUAAUAGUUUACCAAACAUUGUUGCUGAACUUUUUAUCAUAGACAAAGAUAAGUAACAUUUUGACUAGUUCCUACCCGGGGAAUGAAAAUGGGAAUAUCCACUUGAUUCACUACUACGCAGCUUAUUGGUAUUUGCAGAAUUAUUCAUUUUUCUUCUCCUCAAACUUGGAAAAGUUGAAGUUCUUUUCUUGUUAGUUAGUAAAUUGUUUUCCUCCUGGAUUAAUUGCUCAUUCUCCCCUGGAAAACUCUUAGUUUCAUAGAAGUCCUCUGCGUAUUUGAUAGCUCCAUUAGCAGCUACAAAUAUCACCCAUACAACAUUUGUCUGCCGGAAAAGUAUCGCCAAAGCUCCGAGCUGCAGAAAAUAGAAUGCACAUAUAAAGUAAAAAAUAUCAUUGGAAGAGUAUCACCGCUGCAUCACAACAUUGUUGAGAUAAAGUAAAGAAGAAAGCAAGCUUUGUCACAUGCUUGGUAAUAAGGAAAGAUUGAAUAGCUCAAACUACCUAAAAAGUGUUUGCUCAAAAAUUAAACCAGGCAUAAAUUUUUAUACCUCCUAGUUUUAUUCCUUUCUGGAAUUCCUAUCAAAUAUUCUAUUUGACUAUAGAUACCAGUGAAGUAUCAUGCAACCAUAAAAUACUGGCAUAAUAUCUCUAUUCAAUUAAAAACACCAUGUAUAAUCUUAACUGUUGACAAAACUAUAUUGCAGCGUAAAAGGAAAAACAACUCAUGAUAAAUGAAUUAAAGUGUGACAUCCAAGCUGCAAACAGACUACAUUGAUUGCUGUUGUAUAAGAUGGUUAAAAUGUACAGAUGAUCCCCAAAUUUCCACAAUAUCGCGACUGUCUGUGGACAUUUCACUCGGAUAAUUUAGUUCAUAAACUUUCUUACGUGUUGCAAUCACUGCCCAAAACCCGUUUAACUGUCCAAAAGAAAACCUAAUAUCUGUUACGUGACAUGCUCCGCACCAGACUCAUUUCCUGUAAGAGGACGAAUUUAGCCUGGCACAAGACUCUAGCUAUAAUAUAUAUUUCCUGUAAGAUGACAUAUUUAGCCCUGGCAGUAAGAAUGUAAGAUGACAAAUUUAGCCCUAGCACGAGACUAGCUAAAAUACAUCAGAACAAAGACUCAUGCGCUAGGUAUAAAUAACAAUUCUAUAGGAAAAAAAAAAAAAAUCAACUGCUAGGCAAGGUUUAAAGUGCCGUGACACGGGAGCGUGCCGAUGUCUGUCUGGCAUGGUAUGGCACCGGCACGCUUCCGUGCCGACAUAUGGUACGCUUGCAUGCCGAUGGAUAUGCAUAACCUCCUACUGGAACGCUUUGUCACGGACUUAUUUCAAUUUUUUUAGUUCUAAUAAGCUCUUAUAAUGUUAUUUUGAAAGAUUUAAUCAAAUAAUUAUGAAUAUUUGCUAUGUAUAGCUUACUAUACUCAUUAAUUAACAUAUUUGUAAGCUUUUUUGUAUAUAAAGUACAAUUAUACUGAUGCAAAAUAGAAAUUGUUACAUGUAAGAAUUUUUAAAAUGCAAAGAUAUCUUUUUUUCAUUAUUUCUUUUGACCAUAUUACAAUCUUUCUUUUAUAAAAUAUAAAAAAAUAAUUUUAAAAANUUAUUUUAAAAAGUAUUUAAAAAAAAUUAUUUUUUAAUUAAUUUUUUCAAAAAAAUUAGUAGAUCUAUCAAAAAAAUUAAGCAAUUAAUUAUAUGACAAAUAAAUUAAAUAAAUUUAAGUAUCAAUUGAUUUAAUUUAACUUUUAAUUUUAUCAGCAUUUUCAAUCUUCUAGCGCAAAAAUAAAAUUUUUAUGUUUGAUGUGGCUCAAAAUUUGUUUAUUGAGUUCGAUGUUGUUCCCUUAAUUCGCCAAAAAUUUGGCAAUGCGACAAAUUUUGAUAAAAUAAUUUGUGAAGAAAAAAUAGAUAUCUGUGGUGGAAGCGGAGGGCUCGGACAAAUCUUUUGUCCGUAUAUUGAUAAACAAAAAAAUUAAAUUAUAAUUUUUUUGACUUAUCUAAUAAGUAAAUUUUCGAUUGUAAUGUUUUUGGGAGGGCGUGGAGUACCCAGAAUGCUUUGGAUAUCCCAAAGAACAAAACAAAAGAAAAACAAAAACAAAAGGAAAAAAAAAAAAAGCACAGUGCCGGCACGGCACUGUGCCGUGGCACACUGCGCAGUGCCGCUCUGUCUCGUGCGGCACGGCGCUGCGUACCGCGGCACGGAGGGGGGUCCGAGACCCCCCUGUACCGUGCCACCUUCUUGGUGGCAAGGUAUGUGCCGCCCCGUGCCACACUUUAAAGCUUGCUGCUAGGAUUAAAAUGGCUGUUUAUAACAAAUGGAUCAAGUAUGGACAACGUGGGCGCAACAAGGCCAAAGAUACGAAUGCAAAAUGUAGGAAAGUUGAAAAACCAACUUUCAGUGAAAAGUUCAAGGUCUGAGUCACAAUAUUGUGAUUUGCAAAUGUACAGAGUGAUAGAAUGCUUACAAUAGCACUGACCCAGAAUCGCUUCUUCAGGCUAGCCAAGUACAUUGCAAGAACAGCGGUGAGUGAAGCUAUAUCCGUAUAGUACAGGAAAGUGAAGAACCAGUGCACAGGGUAUAAAGAUAUCAAAAUAGCAUAAAAACUCGCCCUCCUUUCGCCUAUACUUGGCCUCAAAUGGACAAGAAGGUCAUGAACAAGUAUGCUGCAUAUGAUUGUCAGAGCGACAUUAGUCGAUCGGAGGAUGGUAGUAGAACAAAGUUGGGACAACGACUGCACUCCAUUAAUCAACCACAUGCCUGGAAACAAAGAAGCAACAUAUGCAAGUGAAACAUAGUACCUGCAAAAUUGUGAAAUAGUAGAACUCUAAGCAACAAUUGAUGUUAAAUCACUCAUGCAUAACAUAUAGCAGUCCUAUAACGAUGUGAUCAAUCAGAAUAUAAAGAGAUAUUUAUGCAAUUUAUUCUGAAAUAUAUUCCUGCAGAACCUCAAUUUCACAGAUUCCAUUAAACUACUUAUUUUCUAACAUAUACAACGUUCUCCUCAAAAAAAUUCUUAGUUUCUAGCAUAUACACCGUUCUCCUCAUAGAAAUGGCAAUAGCUAUAACCAUUUAACUGAACCUGCAGUUCCGCUGCCGAAAAGUGGAAAACGGUUAGAGCCAUUAAAUUACUACCAAAUGGGGAGUUAGAACCACUAAAGUUACUAUGAAAUGGGGUCUUAUAGCCAUUAAAUUGCUAUCAAAUGAAAUAUUCGGUAUUCAUCUACUGCUACAUCCCAAACUUUCAGUCGAGUUUCACUUUGUUUCUAGAACUUUUAAAUUUGACAUUCGACUCCCUGAACUUCUAGAAUUGUUUCACUUUUGUCCGUGCUAUCACUUAUGCCCUUCAACCAUUUCUUGAAUAUAUAUAUAUAUAUAUAUAUAUAUAUAUAUAUAUAUAUAUAUAUAAAAGCGGAUAGAAAAUUUUUAGUUGAUCGACGGAAUCCUCGAUAGAUUAAAAGAAUAUUCUAUACACAUAAAAAAAAAAA